UCGUCUUUGUCCGGAGACGCAAUAUCUCUGCGACUGAAGGUUAGCUGCUUGCCGAAGGAAACGGAAAAACUGCUGCGGACCUGAGGCUGCGAUAGGCAGAGGUAAUUGCCACCAUCUUUAUUAGGGGCAAUGAUCUUCGGGACUCAUGCCGGAUCGCCAUAUUUACAGGUGGCAACCUGCAGUGGAACGCAAGCGCAGCCUUUCUUGUUUGGGAGGGGAGAUUAAGACAAGAGAAAUGUUUGUUUUUGUUUUUGUUUUUCUGGACUUCUUUCCCAGACUGUGAGACACGGCGUGUAUUUCCUGGGAAGGACCUUUGACGCUGGCGGAGUACUGGCUUCAGGCAGUGUAAAUUGCUGCAAGUUAUACGUUAGAUAUUUAUUGGAGGAGAAAUGCCGAAAACGCGUUCAGAACUGCAUGUUCAAAAACAAAGUUGCUGGAAAAGCUCAGUAGGUUCGGUAGCAUCUGUGAAAGGAAAAAAAAAUAACGUUUCGGAUCCGCUAAUCCUUGCUUAGAACUUCAUGUUACCUGUUGCACUCUCACUGUAGGAAGUCCUGCUUUAAAUAUUAUGAUCUAUUAAAGCAUAUCCGUUUGCCCAGUA